rnacentral:SRP_RNA from 1 species
AUAUGAGCAUACAGCAAUGGUUGGCGUGUGAACCGUGUCAGGUCUUGAUCGAAGCAGCACUAAGCAUCAGUCAGUCAUGUGCUGUAUGUAUAUUUUUU